ensembl:ncRNA F35D2.10 ncRNA
ACGCGAAAAGCGACAACGGCGUCGUUUUGGGCACGAAAAAAAAAGAAAGAAGGCGGAAAACAAGAGUGAAAGACAGAAAACGGCUGCUAAGGUCCCUGUUUUUUGCUACUUUGACCUCAUUGCAAUUUGGAGUCCAA